rnacentral:rRNA from 1 species
GGAUGCGAUCAUACCAGCACUAAAGCACCGGAUCCCAUCAGAACUCCGAAGUUAAGCGUGCUUGGGCGAGACUAGUACUAGGAUGGGUGACCUCCUGGGAAGUCCUCGUGUUGCAUUCC